UUUGGUAAACCACCGAGAGUGUUCUCCUAUGCAGAGUUAGAGCUUGCAACGUGUGGCUUUUCAAGGGCUAACUUCUUGGCUGAAGGUGGAUACGGAUCUGUACAUCGAGGUGUAUUACCUGAAGGGCAAGUGGUUGCGGUGAAGCAACACAAACUUGCCAGUUCUCAAGGAGAUGUAGAGUUUUGCUCCGAAGUUGAAGUUCUCAGUUGUGCUCAGCACAGAAACGUUGUUAUGCUGAUUGGUUUCUGCAUUGAAGAUGGGAGAAGGCUCUUGGUUUAUGAAUACAUAUGCAAUGGUUCACUUGACUCCCAUCUAUACGGUAACGUUCCCUUCCAUUUUGUGCUUCUUUGUGGUGGAGAAUGUUUUGCUCAGUAUCAAGCUCUUAUACAGGUCGCAAAAGGGAGACGCUGGAGUGGGCAGCACGGCAAAAGAUUGCUGUUGGAGCUGCGAGAGGUCUUAGGUAUCUUCAUGAAGAAUGCAGAGUUGGUUGUAUUGUCCAUAGAGACAUGCGUCCUAACAACAUCCUCAUCACUCAUGAUAAUGAGCCACUGGUAUAUAUACUACUCCUUCAGUUCCCAAAAGAAGGAUUUUCUAUAUUUACUUUUUGUUCCAAAAUGAUAGGUUUUCUAGAAUUUUAAGGUACUUUUAGUAGUGAAUUUUUUUGAUUAAGUUGUAUAAUUUUAAGAAAUAUUAAUUGAAUUUUUUUGAAUUAGUUAAAUACUAUAGGUUGAUAGUUAUUGGAAAACAUAUAGUAAAAUUAACAAGAAAUUUAUUUGUAAAUGUUCAUUAUAUUCUUAAAUACGCCUGAAUACUCUAGAAAAUCCUUCUUUCGGAAACAGUGGGAGUAUUAGUUUGGCUUUGCUCGUUCAUUGUAACAAUACAUGUUUGGACCUAAGUCACUUCUGUUUUUAAAUUAUAUCAGGUUGGAGAUUUUGGUCUAGCGAGAUGGCAGCCUGAUGGGGAACUAGGUGUAGAAACACGAGUGAUAGGAACGUUUGGGUGAGUCACAUCAACAAAAGCUAUCAUUUACUUCUUGAAACUUUGAACAUGUCUUUCUCUUGCUAUAGCAAAGUACUUUGUUGUUGUGCAGCUAUUUAGCUCCAGAGUCUGCCAGCACAAAGGGCCAGUGUUUGGUAAACCACCGAGAGUGUUCUCCUAUGCAGAGUUAGAGCUUGCAACGUGUGGCUUUUCAAGGGCUAACUUCUUGGCUGAAGGUGGAUACGGAUCUGUACAUCGAGGUGUAUUACCUGAAGGGCAAGUGGUUGCGGUGAAGCAACACAAACUUGCCAGUUCUCAAGGAGAUGUAGAGUUUUGCUCCGAAGUUGAAGUUCUCAGUUGUGCUCAGCACAGAAACGUUGUUAUGCUGAUUGGUUUCUGCAUUGAAGAUGGGAGAAGGCUCUUGGUUUAUGAAUACAUAUGCAAUGGUUCACUUGACUCCC
rnacentral:lncRNA from 1 species